UACGUAGGGGGCUAGCGUUGUUCGGAAUUACUGGGCGUAAAGGGCGCGUAGGCGGAUCUUUAAGUCAGGGGUGAAAUCCUGGAGCUCAACUCCAGAACUGCCUUUGAUACUGAAGAUCCUGAGUUCGGGAGAGGUGAGUGGAACUGCGAGUGUAGAGGUGAAAUUCGUAGAUAUUCGCAAGAACACCAGUGGCGAAGGCGGCUCACUGGCCCGAAACUGACGCUGAGGCACGAAAGCGUGGGGAGCAAACAGG
rnacentral:rRNA from 1 species